GUAUGACAACAUGGCGGAGCUCUUUGCGGUGGUGAAAACGAUGCAAGCGCUGGAGAAGGCAUACAUCAAGGACUGCGUCACCCCCAAUGAGUACACUGCAGCCUGCUCCAGGCUCCUGGUCCAGUACAAAGCUGCCUUCCGGCAGGUCCAAGGCUCAGAGAUCAGCUCCAUUGAUGAAUUUUGCCGAAAGUUCAGACUGGACUGCCCACUUGCUAUGGAGCGGAUCAAAGAGGACCGACCCAUCACCAUCAAGGACGACAAGGGCAAUCUCAACCGCUGUAUUGCGGACGUCGUCUCGUCAUGGACAAGCUGCGUCUGGAGAUCCGCGCCAUGGACGAGAUCCAGCCAGACCUGCGGGAGCUAAUGGAGACCAUGCACAGAAUGAGCCACCUGCCUCCAGACUUUGAGGGCCGCCAAACAGUCAGCCAGUGGCUGCAGACCCUGAGUGGUAUGUCGGCCUCUGAUGAGCUAGAUGACUCCCAAGUUCGCCAGAUGCUCUUCGAUCUGGAGUCAGCUUACAAUGCCUUCAACCGCUUCCUACACUCCUGAGUGUCAUCGAGGCAAGAAAGAGACUGAUGGAGAUGUGACGCCUCAGCUCCCUGUGUCUACACCUGUCCCACAUGUCUAUAUUGUCAGGACAUCGCCCACAAUAAAGAUCUCUCUAACCUUCCUGCUAUGA
rnacentral:lncRNA from 1 species